rnacentral:rRNA from 1 species
UACGUAGGUGGCAAGCGUUGUCCGGAUUUACUGGGCGUAAAGCGCGCGCAGGCGGUUCGGUACGUCCGGCGUGAAAGCUCCCGGCUCAACUGGGAGAGGGCGUUGGAUACGGCCGGACUGGAGGGCGGUAGAGGUCGGUGGAAUUCCUGGUGUAGCGGUGAAAUGCGUAGAUAUCAGGAGGAACACCGGUGGCGAAGGCGGCUACCUGGACAGAAACUGACGCUGAGUGCGCGAAAGCUAGGGGAGCAAACAGG